rnacentral:rRNA from 1 species
AUUGAACGCUGGCGGCAGGCCUAACACAUGCAAGUCGAGCGAGCGGCGGACGGGUGAGUAAUGUAUGGGGAUCUGCCCGAUAGCGGGGGAUAACUACUGGAAACGGUGGCUAAUACCGCAUACUAUCGGAUGAACCCAUAUGGGAUUAUCUAGUAGGUGGGUUAAAGGCUCACCUAGGCGACGAUCUCUAGCUGGUCUGAGAGGAUGAUAAUCCACACUGGGAAUGAGACACGGCCCAGACUCCGACGGGAGGCAGCAGUGGGGAAUAUUGCACAAUGGGCGCAAGCCUGAUGCAGCCAUGCCGAGUGUAGGAAGAAGGCCUUAGGGUUGUAAAGUACUUUCAGCGGGGAGGCGUUACCCGCAGAAGAAGCACCGGCUAACUCCGUGCCAGCAGCCGCGGUAAUUC